rnacentral:rRNA from 1 species
UGAGGAAUAUUGGGCAAUGGGCGCAAGCCUGACCCAGCCAUGCCGCGUGAAGGAUGAAGGCUCUACGAGUCGUAAACUUCUUUUGUACGGGACUAAACCGCUCUACGUGUAGGGCAUUGAAUGUACUGUAUGAAUAAGCAUCGGCUAACUCCGUGCCAGCAGCCGCGGUAAUACGGAGGAUGCAGGCGUUAUCCGGAUUUAUUAGGUUUAAAGGGUGCGUAGGCGGGCUUAUAAGUCAGUGGUGAAAUCCUACAGCUUAACUGUAGAACUGCCAUUGAAACUGUAGACCUUGAAUGUAGUUGAGGUGGGCGGAAUAUGUAAUGUAGCGGUGAAAUGCAUAGAUAUUACAUAGAACACCGAUUGCGAAGGCAGCUCACUAAACUAUGAUUGACGCUGAGGCACGAAAGCGUGGGGAUCAAACAGG